UCAACAGAAGAAGCACCGGCUAACUACGUGCCAGCAGCCGCGGUAAUACGUAGGGUGCAAGCGUUAAUCGGAAUUACUGGGCGUAAAGGGUGCGCAGGCGGUUCUGUAAGUCAGAUGUGAAAUCCCCGGGGCUUAACCUGGGAACUGCGUUUGAAACUGCAGAGCUAGAGUGCAGCAGAGGGAGGUGGAAUUCCAUGUGUAGCAGUGAAAUGCGUAGAGAUAUGGAAGAACAUCGAUGGCGAAGGCAACCUCCUGGGCUAGCACUGACGCUCAUGCACGAAAGCGUGGGGAGCAAACAGGAUUAGAUACCCUGGUAGUCCACGCCCUAAAACUAUGUCAACUAGUUGUCGGGUCUUAUUAGACUUGGUAACGUAGCUAACGCGUGAAGUUGACCGCCUGGGGAGUACGGUCGCAAGAUUAAAACUC
rnacentral:rRNA from 1 species